GUUUGGUAUUCAAUGAUGAUUUUAAACUGCAACUUUAAAGGUGAAGUAUUUCCCAAGCCUA
rnacentral:tRNA from 1 species